rnacentral:rRNA from 1 species
UACAGAGGUGGCAAGCGUUGUUCGGAAUUACUGGGCGUAAAGGGCGCGUAGGCGGUCUUGUAAGUCCCGUGUGAAAUCCCUCGGCUCAACUGAGGAACCGCACGGGAAACUGCUUGGCUUGAGUUCGGGAGAGGGAAGCGGAAUUCCGGGGUGUAGCGGUGAAAUGCGUAGAUAUCCGGAGGAACACCGGUGGCGAAGGCGGCUUCCUGGACCGACACUGACGCUGAGGCGCGAAAGCUAGGGGAGCAAACGGG